AGUAGAGUAAGCUAAAUAUUUAAGCUUUUGGGCUCAUAUUCCAAAAAUGGAAGGAUAAAAGCCUCCCUCUACUU
rnacentral:tRNA from 1 species